UACGGGGGGUGCAAGCGUUAUCCGGAUUCACUGGGUUUAAAGGGCGCGUAGGCGGCCCGCUAAGUCGAACGUGAAAUCCCCGAGCUCAACUCGGGAACUGCGUCCGAUACUGGCGGGCUUGAAUCCGGGAGAGGGAUGCGGAAUUCCAGGUGUAGCGGUGAAAUGCGUAGAUAUCCGGAGGAACACCGGUGGCGAAGGCGGCAUCCUGGACCGGCAUUGACGCUGAGGCGCGAAAGCUAGGGGAGCAAACGGG
rnacentral:rRNA from 1 species